ACAUUUGUUCAUAUUCCUGGCAUGGUUGUAUCCUCUUUCUCCAGAUUGUUAUUGGGGUUGUUCCCCAAGCAGAGCCUCUGGUGAGAUCUUGUUCCCCAAGCAGAGUGCUUGUUGAAGACUUCGUUUUCUUCUCCAACAGUUUUUUUCUCCCCAGCAUGGGUGCGUUCCUUUGGAAGAUUCGGUAGUAGGUGGUUUGAGACCCCGGUACCCCAUU
rnacentral:lncRNA from 1 species